GUGAAGUGAUGAACAAGUUUAUCCAUUCUCUGAGUGUUGCUGCUCUGCCCUUCCUGCCGCAUUCAGAUUCCUGUUCUAGGGUCUUGAUGCCGUGUAGCCUCCAGGCACCUUUCAGCCUCCCAGUGUUCUGCUGGGGGCUGUGGGGAAGCUGGGCCAGCUGCCGGCAGGGCUGGGUGGAACAAGCAGGGCCAGGGCUGAGAGGCUCUGGCUCAGCCAAGAAGAAUGAAACUGUCUGAUCAU
ensembl:snoRNA